rnacentral:lncRNA from 1 species
CCGCCCGGCUUCGCUCCGCCUGCAGCUCCUGCCAGCACCGAACCGAAUUCAUCCUCUGGCAGUGCUUUACCUGAGGGUAAACGGAGACAAAUUCCUCUGUGGAUGCCUGCAGCUCCCCAGGAUCUGUACCCGACACAGAAGCAAUCUGCUCUGCAGCCAGGCUGACAGCACAUUCUGGUUCCCAGUUCAGAGACAUCCAACACAGCAGCACCAUUACCAUUCUUGGACCUACUCACCUCUCCAGCACAGGUAAAUGUCACACAUACCCCCAUUUUACAAGCAGAAAGCUGUGGCAUAGAGAGCAAAAGUCAUUCAGACAAGGUUUGGGGCAAAACAUGGAUUUUAAUCUAUGCAAAAGCUGUAGACAUUCUUCCUUCCCCAUCUCAGAAGGCAUC